UGAAAUGUUGUUCAUAAAACUGGCUGCAUAACAGUCAUGAAAUAGAAAAGACAGUGUUGACAGUUGUGAUCCGUGCUGCACAUGUAGUUCUGCAAGGCCACAUGCAGGAGCCUGCAGCCGCAGGUCAAAGUCCACGACUGACUGGGUGUCGUUAACACCCAGGUGAAUGUUUGCUCUACUCUACCUGUUCAGCCAACAAGUGAUCCUCAGUCCAGGGAAUCGGUUUGAAUCUGCUGCGUCACAGUCCACUUUCGCAGUCACACAAGCGUGACGCCUGAGUCCUAAUGGAGCUCCAGCCGAACAUGAAGACUGUGGUCCUGGUUACUGUUCUGCUCUGUGGGGGGUGCUCAGCUGACUCCAGCAGGAGGCUCAGUGUGCUCGUGGGCACAGACGUGACUGUCAGCUGCCUGUUCCACAGACUGACCCAGCAGGUGGAGUGGAGCACUCUGACUGUCGAGUGGAACAUGGUGGACAAACACACAGAGAAGAAAAUCCUAUACACAUUUGAGGACAGCACAGCACGUGUGAACAGAGACCACUCUGUGGUGGACAGAAUGGGGCUGCUCCAGAGCAACGCAUCUCUGCAGUUACACAAUGUGACUGUGGGCGAUGAAGGGCUGUACACCUGCAGGGUCAUCACACCUGUGGUGUACACAGAGACCACGUCACUGGAAGUGCUGGCCCGGCCCUCAGUGUCACUCCCAGAACAGGCGGCAGUGACAGAGGGUGAGGAGAAGACCAUACAGUGUGACAUCACAGGGUUCUACCCAGAGAAGCUGGCUGUCACAUGGUAUAUCCAGAAUGGCUCCCGCACCGUCCACACAGGCAUCAGCCAGCUGUCCCGUGUCUGCACAGAAAUGGCCGUUCACAACCCAGAUGGCACCUACAGUAUUCGCAGUGGCAUCACCCUGCACUCCUCCACCGUGAGGGGUGGAGAGGUUCACAUCAUCUGCCAGGUGGAGCACAGCACCUACACCUGGCCCUACAACAGAUCUGUGACUGUGACUGUUCAAGCUCCAUCACAGCCGCUCUACAGUGCUGUCACUCUGAUAGCUGUCACCAGUGUCAUCAGUCUGCUGCUGAUCACCUCUGUUAUUGGAGCCACUCUGCUUCUCCACAUGUACUUCUGCAAAGCUCCACCUAGUGUGUCUGAAAUCAGCCAGUCCAGCAUCAUAUAUGCUCAGGCGCCAACCCAGCUCAGGUGCACCGUCCGAGGAGCAAGGCAACGAGAGAUCAUGGUGAAGUGGUUCAGACUGAGGAGCUGUCCAGACUCGGUGGUCCUGUCAGAGUCUGUCUCUCUGCUGCUCAGUGAGGAUUUGAGUGAACAGGCUUGUCUCAAUUCAGAUGGGAAACACCACACAUCUGUCCUCACUGUGUGUCUGAGUGUGACUGACGACCUGAACAGGUUUCAGUGUGUGGUGCUGUGCAGGGGGAGGAGCUUCAACAGAGAGACCACAGUCAGGGUCAAAGUGGAGCCAUCUUUCCUCCAGAUCUCCAGCAUCCCUCAGGUCCCCAGGGUGGAGCGUCUGCUGGUUCUCUGCUGUAGGGUGGAGAACUUCUUCCCCCAGGAUGUCAGCCUGGAGUGGUCCAGGAACGAUGGGGAGCAGGUCCGCACUGUCACACACUUUGGUCCAUUCUCCAACCGCAGCCGCCUCUACAGCGUGUGGAGUAAGAUCCAGCUGGUCAUGGCCAGAGAGGACGAGAGGGCCAUCUACACCUGCCGUAUUUACCACUCCAGCUUCCCCGAGCCGGGCUUCAGAGACGUCCUGUACCACAUCAACACUCAAGGAACUCCUCCUAAUGUGAUGUUCAUCGACUGUGAGCCGCUGUGUCCUCUGCUGAGUGAAGAGUGUAUCCUGCACCUGUGCAUCAAGGAUUUCUGUCCUGAGGAUGUCUCUGUGACUUGGACCAAAAACGGGGAUACGCUUCUCUCCGGCGUCUUCAACACUCCCCCCAGCCUCAACAUCAAUGGCCUCUACUCCAUGUUCAGUUUUCUCAGAAUCACUCCCAACAAGGACGACCAGGGCUCAGAGUUCAGGUGCCGGGUUGUCCACAUUGCUCAGAGGGAGCCUGAGGAGAGGCUCUUCACUUUGCCACACCUGCAUCUGACCAACGGCUACUGAUGUCACACUGUCAACUGAUGAUAAAGUCAUACGUGGUCUAGUCAUUACUGUCCACCCGUCAGUUCUGCAGUCAGAAAGAGUGUCUUGUUUCUAUGAAUUAAAUCAGAUUGAUGGAUGUUUAUUCACACUGGACAUCAGAGAUAAUGAUAUCCCCAUGAAGUGGAGGUCACACUGAAUCUAAAAAUAUGUGAUUAACAUGUGUGUUCACAUUUGUGAACUGUCAUCAGUUAUGACUCUGAAGAGAAGGAGUGUGAGUUUUGAGCAGCUGCAGCUGCCUUUAUCUGACACAGGAUCUUUGCCUCAAAGUACUAAGAUGGUGAAAAUGGUCAACAUUAUAUCUGCUAGUCAUGUCAGCAUAGUCACGGUGAGCAUGUUACUUACUUUAGCAUUUAGCCCAAAGUAUUGAUCGUAAUCCCUUUUUUAAAACUGUCCAUUGUGAGUCUGACUGUGUUACAGCAGUGACAUUAUGAAUCUGUGAAGGACUCUAUUAACAAAUAAAGAUCUGGCCUGUUGUUUUGUUGUUGGCCAUAAGUUUGAGGGCAGUGGACAGUUCAUCCUGCAUUAUUGGUGUAUCCAGCAUGUUGGUUUGUUCUUGACUAAGCUGUGGUAGGUCAAUUCUGUUGAGAAAUGAUUUAAUAUCCUUUUUGAUUCAGAUGGAGUGGAGGUUGCCAGUGGGAUGUUUUCCACCUGGAUUGCUGGUCUGGAGAUCUUACUUAGCUGGCUGCUUGAGUUUGCUUCACUCUCUCUCAGCUCCCACAUAUGUGCUCUUGGGUUUUGAUUUGUCCUUGGUUAUAGCAUUUAACUGUUUUCUAACAUUACCAGAUUUUGUUUUGUUUAUCAUAGUUUGUUUUGUAAAUUGUUUCAAAUGACAGUAUCUGUGACUGUUUUGUCUACUCAUUAAUAAAAACAAAGUUUGUGUCCAUA